UCACUCCAAGCCUGCUGUCCCCCAGAAAAGGGUAAUGACAUAACCUUGAAGUGUCACGUUGUGGGCAAGAGCCAGUAAAAAGCUACACAAAAUAACCUAGUGGGAUGUUUGCAACUUGUUUUUAAUCUACAGACUGCUAUAGAACAUAAGGUCUAACAAAAAUGUAGGCUGUGUUGACCCUUCCUCCCAAGGGAGAGGUCAUGAAGACUAAAAUGCUCCUCUAAGAGGUGGAACAGCAUACGUAGAGUUUGAAAUCCUAACAGCACGAGAGAGAGAAGCAUCCCUCUGAGACAACCUCUGCAUUCUUCUUGAGUCCCAUAUAAAGCUGUUUGGCUUUCCCUUGCUGGGAUGAUAAGAUUUUUAAACAGGAAAAUGACAUGGAUGCAAAAGAUGGUGAAGCACUUCAGGGACAAAAGGCAUUAGCAGUCACUUCACAGCAACUGUCAGAGAGACAAGACCUUCUGUCCCUAUCUGCACUGACUGCUCUCUCUGGAGAGGAGCCCUCCAAAUUGCCACUGGUAAAGAUGUCAAUACAGAAAAGUCACCCAGAAGCAUCUCAGGUGGCCCACUUACUGCACAUCCCCACUGUGGAACAGGAUCAGCUACACCUGUCUUUUUUCUGUAACACAAUUUGGCAGACUCCAGUGUGCACUCCCCCAGGAAUGGAACCUGCAUAGAAUUGUUAAUUAAAGCAUUUGAAGUUUUUUAAUUGCCUUUGAUGUUCCUCUCAUUCAAAUAAUAAAAUUUUGGAGGAAAGCUCAUUUAGCUCUCUGAAGACAGGCUUAAAGGGAAGUAUUUGGCCUCAUGCCUCACACAGGAUCUCUUCUGAAGCAGUUCAUGAUGACAGCAGUCUCACCAUCCACUUACCAAGCAAUUUCCCAGGUUGAGGCAAUUCUGUUAGGUUAGAACUGAUGACCCAGUCUCCAAUACGCAGGCAGGAGAAGGUGAAAGGACAAGAAUCUCUUCUAAGUGUACAGGCAGUGAACUUUUCUGAGUCAACAGUG